UGGUGGGAGUUUAUUCGUCAGCAGAACUUGAGAAUGUUGCGGAGGCUCGGCCGUCGGAGAGGUUCGGGAAGAUGUCGCCGAAGGUCGGAUGUUGGUAGAACCCCUGGAGAGUCACUCCUGACACGAACUUCGGCUGGGGGGAGGGUAUUUUGUACCCAACACCAGUCCCCCUACUUCCGAGUUUGAGUUUCGGAUGAAGGAA
rnacentral:lncRNA from 1 species